CUUAACUGCUAAAUAGCCCGGCCGACUUUGGCUGGUCGCUGGCUUCUUAGAGGGACUAUUAGCGUGUAGCUAAUGGAAGUUUGAGGCAGUAACAGGUCAACCUAUCACAGGCCUGUAAAAGCGAUAUAUAGCUAGUCCAGCGUCGACGCUUGCAUUUGGGGCAGGCGGCUCUUUUCAAGAGUGACGCGGGCGACACAACCUGGUACAGGGAACGCCUCGGCUGUGACAAGCCAGGCCGAUCCUGUGGCGAGCUGUUCAACAGCCGUCGCAACGUGCGGAAAGGUGUGGGUCUCGAAAGAGGCUUAAGGUACGUACUAAUCCCUGGGGAAACCCAGCCUGCGCGGUCAGAGCCCAAACUCUAGCUGCGCGGGGAGCUUUUUCUAAAGCUCGGCACAAAUGCUGUGAUGCCCUUAGAUGUUCUGGGCCGCACGCGCGCUACACUGACGGAGCCAGCGAGUUAUUUCACCUUGUCCGGAAGGACUGGGUAAUCUUGUGAAACUCUGUCGUGCUGGGGAUAGGGCAUUGCAAUUAUUGCUCUUCAACGAGGAAUUCCUAGUAAGCGUAAGUCAUCAGCUUGCGUUGAUUACGUCCCUGCCCUUUGUACACACCGCCUGUCGUUACUACCGAUUGAAUGGUUA
rnacentral:rRNA from 1 species